rnacentral:rRNA from 1 species
CAUGCAAGUCGAGCGGUAGCACAGAGAGCUUGCUCUCGGGUGACGAGCGGCGGACGGGUGAGUAAUGUCUGGGAAACUGCCUGAUGGAGGGGGAUAACUACUGGAAACGGUAGCUAAUACCGCAUAACGUCGCAAGACCAAAGUGGGGGACCUUCGGGCCUCAUGCCAUCAGAUGUGCCCAGAUGGGAUUAGCUGGUAGGUGGGGUAACGGCUCACCUAGGCGACGAUCCCUAGCUGGUCUGAGAGGAUGACCAGCCACACUGGAACUGAGACACGGUCCAGACUCCUACGGGAGGCAGCAGUGGGGAAUAUUGCACAAUGGGCGCAAGCCUGAUGCAGCCAUGCCGCGUGUGUGAAGAAGGCCUUCGGGUUGUAAAGCACUUUCAGCGGGGAGGAAGGCGAUGAGGUUAAUAACCUUGUCGAUUGACGUUACCCGCAGAAGAAGCACCGGCUAACUCCGUGCCAGCAGCCGCGGUAAUACGGAGGGUGCAAGCGUUAAUCGGAAUUACUGGGCGUAAAGCGCACGCAGGCGGUCUGUCAAGUCGGAUGUGAAAUCCCCGGGCUCAACCUGGGAACUGCAUUCGAAACUGGCAGGCUAGAGUCUUGUAGAGGGGGGGUAGAAUUCCAGGUGUAGCGGUGAAAUGCGUAGAGAUCUGGAGGAAUACCGGUGGCGAAAGGCGGCCCCCUGGACAAAGACUGACGCUCAGGUGCGAAAGCGUGGGGAGCAAACAGGAUUAGAUACCCUGGUAGUCCACGCUGUAAACGAUGUCGACUUGGAGGUUGUGCCCUUGAGGCGUGGCUUCCGGAGCUAACGCGUUAAAUCGACCGCCUGGGGAGUACGGCCGCAAGGUUAAAACUCAAAUGAAUUGACGGGGGCCCGCACAAGCGGUGGAGCAUGUGGUUUAAUUCGAUGCAACGCGAAGAACCUUACCUGGUCUUGACAUCCACAGAACUUAGCAGAGAUGCUUUGGUGCCUUCGGGAACCGUGAGACAGGUGCUGCAUGGCUGUCGUCAGCUCGUGUUGUGAAAUGUUGGGUUAAGUCCCGCAACGAGCGCAACCCUUAUCCUUUGUUGCCAGCGGUCAGGCCGGGAACUCAAAGGAGACUGCCAGUGAUAAACUGGAGGAAGGUGGGGAUGACGUCAAGUCAUCAUGGCCCUUACGACCAGGGCUACACACGUGCUACAAUGGCAUAUACAAAGAGAAGCGACCUCGCGAGAGCAAGCGGACCUCAUAAAGUAUGUCGUAGUCCGGAUUGGAGUCUGCAACUCGACUCCAUGAAGUCGGAAUCGCUAGUAAUCGUAGAUCAGAAUGCCACGGUGAAUACGUUCCCGGGCCUUGUACACACCGCCCGUCACACCAUGGGAGUGGGUUGCAAAAGAAGUAGGUAGCUUAACCUUCGGGAGGGCGCUACC